AUUGAACGCUGGCGGCAUGCCUUACACAUGCAAGUCGAACGGCAGCACGGGAGCAAUCCUGGUGGCGAGUGGCGAACGGGUGAGUAAUACAUCGGAACGUGCCCAGUAGUGGGGGAUAGCCCGGCGAAAGCCGGAUUAAUACCGCAUACGACCUGAGGGUGAAAGCGGGGGAUCGCAAGACCUUGCGCUAUUGGAGCGGCCGAUGUCGGAUUAGCUAGUUGGUGGGGUAAAGGCUCACCAAGGCAACGAUCCGUAGCUGGUCUGAGAGGACGACCAGCCACACUGGGACUGAGACACGGCCCAGACUCCUACGGGAGGCGGCAGUGGGGAAUUUUGGACAAUGGGCGCAAGCCUGAUCCAGCCAUGCCGCGUGCGGGAAGAAGGCCUUCGGGUUGUAAACCGCUUUUGUCAGGGAAGAAACGCUCUGGGCUAAUACCCUGGGGUAAUGACGGUACCUGAAGAAUAAGCACCGGCUAACUACGUGCCAGCCGCCGCGGUAAAAC
rnacentral:rRNA from 1 species